rnacentral:sRNA from 1 species
CAGUCAGUUUUAGCUUAGCUUUCAAACAAUUGAUCAUGGACGGGAAACGAAUUAUUUUUUGUAUUUCCUUAACGUUUGCCUUAUUUCUAACAUGCGCAUAUUCCUUAGAAAUUCAACACUGCCGAAAUCCGAAUAAACCAGAACCAUAUGAACUUUUUAGUGGUCACUGCACCCCAAUAACCGAAUGCCUCAAUGCAACAAAAUAUCCAGAUAUGACAUUUAAAUCCUCUGACUGUACGGGGGAGGGGAACUAUUGUUGCAGAUUCUCCAUAACUCUCCAUAAUUCAUAACUUUAAAUGGCAAUACAAUAAUCCUAAAUUUGUUCCAUCAAUAGGUGAUUUGAAAUAAAUAUAAAUACGA